rnacentral:tRNA from 1 species
GGGUUGGAUGCGAGAACGGUGCUCGUGCCCGGCUGUAACCCGGGGGUCAAUGACACUGCAGGUUCGAUUCCUGCCCAACCCA